rnacentral:snoRNA from 1 species
UGUGGAUGAUGAGAAAUCACCAGACACUCUCACGACGGUCUGCUUAAUGGCGAGUCCUCCUUGCCCUGCUGAGAUCCUGGUACUUUCUUCUGACACA